AGCCACAACCCCUACUACUGCUACUGGCAGUAGUACUACUCAUACUGUUGCUGGAAGUGGAACAAUUACUACAGUAGAAGAAAAUAAAGAACACAGAGCUUCAUUUGACCCAAAGAUCCUCAUCAUCCCUCUGAGUGUGUUGACCUUGAUUGUAAUUGUGAUGCUGUUCAUCUGGUUUAUAAUGAGACACAAGCAGAACAAAGCAGAAUCAUCAGCCACAGCAAUGGGUGGAGAUGAAGUAACAUACUCUGAAGUCAGACCCAAGAAAAAACGUUCA